AACCGGGGGAACUGAAACAUCUAAGUACCCCGAGGAAAAGAAAUCAACCGAGAUUCCCCCAGUAGCGGCGAGCGAACGGGGAGGAGCCCAGAGCCUGAAUCAGUGUGUGUGUUAGUGGAAGCGUCUGGAAAGGCGCGCGAUACAGGGUGACAGCCCCGUACACAAAAAUGCACAUGCUGUGAGCUCGAUGAGUAGGGCGGGACACGUGGUAUCCUGUCUGAAUAUGGGGGGACCAUCCUCCAAGGCUAAAUACUCCUGACUGACCGAUAGUGAACCAGUACCGUGAGGGAAAGGCGAAAAGAACCCCGGCGAGGGGAGUGAAAAAGAACCUGAAACCGUGUACGUACAAGCAGUGGGAGCCCUGAUUUAUCAGGGUGACUGCGUACCUUUUGUAUAAUGGGUCAGCGACUUAUAUUCUGUAGCAAGGUUAACCGAAUAGGGGAGCCGGAGGGAAACCGAGUCUUAACUGGGCGUUAAGUUGCAGGGUAUAGACCCGAAACCCGGUGAUCUAGCCAUGGGCAGGUUGAAGGUUGGGUAACACUAACUGGAGGACCGAACCGACUAAUGUUGAAAAAUUAGCGGAUGACUUGUGGCUGGGGGUGAAAGGCCAAUCAAACCGGGAGAUAGCUGGUUCUCCCCGAAAGCUAUUUAGGUAGCGCCUCGUGAAUUCAUCUCCGGGGGUAGAGCACUGUUUCGGCAAGGGGGUCAUCCCGACUUACCAACCCGAUGCAAACUGCGAAUACCGGAGAAUGUUAUCACGGGAGACACACGGCGGGUGCUAACGUCCGUCGUGAAGAGGGAAACAACCCAGACCGCCAGCUAAGGUCCCAAAGUCAUGGUUAAGUGGGAAACGAUGUGGGAAGGCCCAGACAGCCAGGAUGUUGGCUUAGAAGCAGCCAUCAUUUAAAGAAAGCGUAAUAGCUCACUGGUCGAGUCGGCCUGCGCGGAAGAUGUAACGGGGCUAAACCAUGCACCGAAGCUGCGGCAGCGACACUGUGUGUUGUUGGGUAGGGGAGCGUUCUGUAAGCCUGCGAAGGUGUGCUGUGAGGUAUGCUGGAGGUAUCAGAAGUGCGAAUGCUGACAUAAGUAACGAUAAAGCGGGUGAAAAGCCCGCUCGCCGGAAGACCAAGGGUUCCUGUCCAACGUUAAUCGGGGCAGGGUGAGUCGACCCCUAAGGCGAGGCCGAAAGGCGUAGUCGAUGGGAAACAGGUUAAUAUUCCUGUACUUGGUGUUACUGCGAAGGGGGGACGGAGAAGGCUAUGUUGGCCGGGCGACGGUUGUCCCGGUUUAAGCGUGUAGGCUGGUUUUCCAGGCAAAUCCGGAAAAUCAAGGCUGAGGCGUGAUGACGAGGCACUACGGUGCUGAAGCGACAAAUGCCCUGCUUCCAGGAAAAGCCUCUAAGCAUCAGGUAACAUCAAAUCGUACCCCAAACCGACACAGGUGGUCAGGUAGAGAAUACCAAGGCGCUUGAGAGAACUCGGGUGAAGGAACUAGGCAAAAUGGUGCCGUAACUUCGGGAGAAGGCACGCUGAUAUGUAGGUGAAGCGACUUGCUCGUGGAGCUGAAAUCAGUCGAAGAUACCAGCUGGCUGCAACUGUUUAUUAAAAACACAGCACUGUGCAAACACGAAAGUGGACGUAUACGGUGUGACGCCUGCCCGGUGCCGGAAGGUUAAUUGAUGGGGUCAGCGCAAGCGAAGCUCUUGAUCGAAGCCCCGGUAAACGGCGGCCGUAACUAUAACGGUCCUAAGGUAGCGAAAUUCCUUGUCGGGUAAGUUCCGACCUGCACGAAUGGCGUAAUGAUGGCCAGGCUGUCUCCACCCGAGACUCAGUGAAAUUGAACUCGCUGUGAAGAUGCAGUGUACCCGCGGCAAGACGGAAAGACCCCGUGAACCUUUACUAUAGCUUGACACUGAACACUGGUCCUUGAUGUGUAGGAUAGGUGGGAGGCUUUGAAGUGUGGACGCCAGUCUGCAUGGAGCCGUCCUUGAAAUACCACCCUUUAAUGGCUGGUGUUCUAACGUGGGCCCGUAAUCCGGGUUGCGGACAGUGUCUGGUGGGUAGUUUGACUGGGGCGGUCUCCUCCUAAAGAGUAACGGAGGAGCACGAAGGUUGGCUAAUCCUGGUCGGACAUCAGGAGGUUAGUGCAAUGGCAUAAGCCAGCUUGACUGCGAGCGUGACGGCGCGAGCAGGUGCGAAAGCAGGUCAUAGUGAUCCGGUGGUUCUGAAUGGAAGGGCCAUCGCUCAACGGAUAAAAGGUACUCCGGGGAUAACAGGCUGAUACCGCCCAAGAGUUCAUAUCGACGGCGGUGUUUGGCACCUCGAUGUCGGCUCAUCACAUCCUGGGGCUGAAGUAGGUCCCAAGGGUAUGGCUGUUCGCCAUUUAAAGUGGUACGCGAGCUGGGUUUAGAACGUCGUGAGACAGUUCGGUCCCUAUCUGCCGUGGGCGCUGGAGAACUGAGGGGGGCUGCUCCUAGUACGAGAGGACCGGAGUGGACGCAUCACUGGUGUUCGGGUUGUCAUGCCAAUGGCACUGCCCGGUAGCUAAAUGCGGAAGAGAUAAGUGCUGAAAGCAUCUAAGCACGAAACUUGCCCCGA
rnacentral:rRNA from 1 species